rnacentral:rRNA from 1 species
UACGGAGGGAGCUAGCGUUGUUCGGAAUUACUGGGCGUAAAGCGCACGUAGGCGGCUUUGUAAGUUAGAGGUGAAAGCCUGGAGCUCAACUCCAGAACUGCCUUUAAGACUGCAUCGCUUGAAUCCAGGAGAGGUGAGUGGAAUUCCGAGUGUAGAGGUGAAAUUCGUAGAUAUUCGCAAGAACACCAGUGGCGAAGGCGGCUCACUGGCCCGAUACUGACGCUCAUGCACGAAAGCGUGGGGAGCAAAAGGG